rnacentral:misc_RNA from 1 species
GGCCUGUCUUGAACUGUGACCUUGUCUCCACAAACUGGUUAAUCAAGAUAUAACUUUCGCAUAACGGGAACAGCCUUUUUGCAAACUCCUGAAGAGCUAAAUCCAUAGAUGCAUCAACCUGAAAGGUUAUGUCAUCCUCCUUCCCUCGGACUUUCUUGAUCGAAAUAUAGCGUCCUUCAAUUCCAAUAAGGGUAGAUAGAAGAUCAUCAAUAACAAUCAAUUCCUGAAUGGUGGCAUGGUAACAACCUAUAGCUUUAUCUGCUCCGGAACUUGAUUCCGCAGAAAACCCCUUGUACUCAGAAGUUCCAGACGAAAUCUUUGUUUCCUGAUAAAAUUGGCCAGUAAGAAAGGGACGAUCGAGAUUCCAACCAGGAGUUGAUGAGCAUAAAGAAAUUGCAGCGGCUGAAUCCAUGUAAUUCGUCUCAAAUCUUGAAGUUGAAGUAAAUGGGGAUGACCCAACUCAGUUUCAGCAGGAAUUGCUCCACCGGCACUUCCGGUGACUGUUUGAAACCGUAGACACGACCACAAUGCCACCGCAGUUCAAUUCAGAACUUAAACUUUCAAGAUUUCACAAAGUGUUUCUCAUUUUAGGGUUGAUGUUCUGAUUAGCUGAAGAUGAAAUUUUUGGGAAAGCAAAUUCAGUCUCACAGUUUA